rnacentral:misc_RNA from 1 species
GAUGAAGAACGCAGCGAAAUGCGAUAAGUAAUGUGAAUUGCAGAAUUCAGUGAAUCAUCGAAUCUUUGAACGCACAUUGCGCCCUUUGGCAUUCCGAAGGGCACACCUGUCCGAGCGCCGUCGCACAACUGAGGCGCAGCCUUGCGUUGGCGGGCGACUUGUGAGUAGCGAGUCGCCGCCCAAACGAGACGGCGCCGCGCCGCGGCCGACGAAGCACGAAAGCGGAAGUCGACGCGGAGGCGGUUUCCUGUAGGAAGACACAGCUUGGCCUCGGAUCAGGUGGGGAUACCCGCUGAACUUAAGCAUAUCAAUAAGCGGAGGA